rnacentral:rRNA from 1 species
AUUGAACGCUGGCGGCAUGCCUUACACAUGCAAGUCGAACGGUAACAGGUCUUCGGGUGCUUGCACCUGGUGGCGAGUGGCGAACGGGUGAGUAAUACAUCGGAACGUACCCAGUUGAGGGGGAUAACUAACCGAAAGGUUAGCUAAUACCGCAUACGACCUGAGGGUGAAAGCGGGGGACCGUAAGGCCUCGCGCAAUUGGAGCGGCCGAUGUCUGAUUAGCUAGUUGGUGAGGUAAAGGCUCACCAAGGCGGCGAUCAGUAGCUGGUCUGAGAGGAUGAUCAGCCACACUGGGACUGAGACAUGGUCCAGACUCCUACGGGAGGCAGCAGUGGGGAAUUUUGGACAAUGGGGGAAACCCUGAUCCAGCCAUUCCGCGUGAGUGAAGAAGGCCUUCGGGUUGUAAAGCUCUUUCGGCAGGGAAGAAACGCUCUGGCUUAAUACGCCGGGGUAAUGACGGUACCUGAAGAAGAAGCACCGGCUAACUACGUGCCAGCCGCCGCAGUAAAAC